rnacentral:rRNA from 1 species
AAUAGGCUAAUUAAGAGCGUAAGGGGAAUGCCUUGGCUCUCAGAGGCGAUGAAGGACGUGAUAAGCUGCGAUAAGCUGUGGGGAGUGCCACAAACACUUUGAUCCGCAGAUUUCCGAAUGGGGCAACCCGGCAUAUUGAAGAUAUGUCACACUGCAAAGUGAGCAAACCUGGUGAACUGAAACAUCUAAGUAACCAGAGGAAUAGAAAACAAAAGUGAUUCCGCUAGUAGUGGCGAGCGAACGUGGAACAGCCCAAACCUAUGUUGUUACGGCAAUAUAGGGGUUGUAGGACCUCAAUAUUUAAUGCUAAAAGAACUAGAAUUUACUGGAAAGUAAAA